rnacentral:rRNA from 1 species
CCUACGGGUGGCAGCAGUCGAGAAUCAUUCACAAUGGGGGAAACCCUGAUGGUGCGACGCCGCGUGGGGGAAUGAAGGUCUUCGGAUUGUAAACCCCUGUCAUGUGGGAGCAAAUUAAAACGAUCGUACCACAAGAGGAAGAGACGGCUAACUCUGUGCCAGCAGCCGCGGUAAUACAGAGGUCUCAAGCGUUGUUCGGAAUCACUGGGCGUAAGGCGUGCGUAGGCUGUUUCGUAAGUCGUGUGUGAAAGGCGCGGGCUCAACCCGCGGACGGCACAUGAUACUGCGAGACUAGAGUAAUGGAGGGGGAACCGGAAUUCUCGGUGUAGCAGUGAAAUGCGUAGAUAUCGAGAGGAACACUCGUGGCGAAGGCGGGUUCCUGGACAUUAACUGACGCUGAGGCACGAAGGCCAGGGGAGCGAAAGGGAUUAGAUACCCUUGUAGUC